rnacentral:rRNA from 1 species
CGCAAAGGAAAUACUUGGGAAAGUAUACCAAAGAAGGUAAGAGUCCUGUACUUGAAGCGAGAAGACACAUAAGCUUUACCCGAGUAUCGUAGGACACGAGGAACCCUGCGAGAAAGAUGGGGGACCACCCCCAAAGCCUAAAUACUACUAAUCAACCGAUAGAAAAUAGUACCGUGAGGGAAAGGUGAAAAGAACCCCGGGAGGGGAGUGAAAAAGAACCUGAAACCAUAUGCUUACAAACAGAUGGAGUCGAGCACUUAACUCUGCUUAAGUUUUAAGGAGAAAAAUAUGUACUGUGUAUAUGUAUUAAAACUUAAUGAAGAUAAAAUAUAUGUAGGAUACACACACGACUUAAAACAAAGAUAUAAGCAACAUAAAGAAAAACAAGUAAAAAGUACAAAAAACUAUGAAGUAGAACUUGUAUAUUAUGAAGCAUAUAAAGCAAAAGCAGACGCAAUAACAAGAGAAGCAAAACUAAAACAGCGAGGAAAUGCAAAAAGAUUUUUAAAAGAAAAAAUACAAAAUUCACUACAAUAAAAAUCAAAGCACACAAUAAAAACACAAAACAAAAGCCUCGCAAGCAGAGUUAAGUGCUCGAUGACAUCGUACUUUUUGUAGAACGGGCCAACGAGUUAUGCUGUAAAGCAAGGAUAAUAAAUUAAGUUUAGCAUCCAAAGCGAAAGCGAGUCUUAAUAGGGCGAUAAGUUAUACAGCAUAGACCCGAAACCGGGCGACCUACCCAUGAGCAGGUUGAAGUUUCAGUAACAUGAAAUGGAGGACCGAACCCACGAACGUUGAAAAGUUCGGGGAUGACUUGUGGGUAGCGGUGAAAUUCCAAUCGAGCUCGGAGAUAGCUGGUUCUCUUCGAAAUAGCUUUAGGGCUAGCGUCUUAAGAAAUGUAUAUCGGGGGUAGAGCACUGAAUGCUCUAGGGGCCGUAUAGGUUACCGAAAGCUAUCAAACUUCGAAUACCGAUAUAUAAAUAAGGCAGUCAGACUACGAGUGAUAAGAUCCGUGGUCAAGAGGGAAAAAGCCCAGAUCAACAGCUAAGGUCCCAAAAUGUAUGUUAAGUGGAAAAGGAUGUGAAAUUGCACAGACAACCAGGAUGUUGGCUUAGAAGCAGCCAUACAUUAAAAGAGUGCGUAAUAGCUCACUGGUCGAGUGGUUUUGCGCCGAAAAUUACCGGGGCUCAAACAUACUACCGAAGCUUUGAAUUCACACGCAAGUGUGAGUGGUAGAAGAGCAUCGUAUGAUAGGGAGAAGGAGGAUUGAAAAAGACUCUGGACGAAAUACGAGAGAGAAUGUUGGCAUGAGUAGCGAGAUGUGUGUGAGAAUCACACAGGCCGAAAACCCAAGGAUUUCCAAGGAAGGUUCGUCCGCUUGGAGUAAGUCGGGACCUAAGGAGAGGCAGAAAUGCGUAUCUGAUGGACAACAGGUUAAGAUUCCUGUACCUACGCUUAUCGCCAAAGAGGAGAAGGAAUGACGCAGGAGGAUAAGAUCAGCGCACGGCUGGAAGAGUGCGUCCAAGCAGUAAGGCAGGCAUAUAGGCAAAUCCGUAUGCUAAUAAUGUUAAGCUGUGAUGGGGAGAGAAGUUAAGUAUCGAAGGAUCUGAUUUCACACUGACAGGAAAAGUUUCUAUCCAGAUAAGAGUAGCCCGUACCAAAACCGACACAGGUGGGUAAGGUGAGAAACCUAAGGCCGGCGAGAGAACUGUUGUUAAGGAACUCGGCAAAAUGACCCCGUAACUUAGGGAUAAGGGGUGCCUUAGAGAUAAGGCUUCAAGAAAAAGGCCCAAGCGACUGUUUACCAAAAACAUAGGUCUCUGCGAAACCGCAAGGUGAAGUAUAGGGGCUGACGCCUGCCCGGUGCUGGAAGGUUAAGAGGAGAUGUCAGGCAACGAAGCAUUGAAUUUAAGCCCCAGUAAACGGCGGCCGUAACUAUAACGGUCCUAAGGUAGCGAAAUUCCUUGUCGGGUAAGUUCCGACCCGCACGAAAGGCGUAACGAUUUGGGCACUGUCUCAACAACAGACUCGGUGAAAUUGUAGUACCGGUGAAGAUGCCGGAAACCUGCGACAGGACGGAAAGACCCCAUGGAGCUUUACUGUAGCUUAGUAUUGAAUUUAUGUAAUUAAUGUACAGAAUAGGUGGGAGGCUGAGAGAUUAGGUCGUCAGAUUUAAAGGAGCCGCCUUUGGGAUACCACCCUUUGAUUAUGUGAGUUCUAACCGGAAUCUUUGAAGCAAGGUACGGGACAGUGCUUGGCGGACAGUUUGACUGGGGCGGUCGCCUCCCAAAGAGUAACGGAGGCGUCCAAAGGUUCCCUCAGCAUGGUCGGAAAUCAUGCGAAGAGUGCAAAGGCAAAAGGGAGCUUGAUUGCGAGACCAACAAGUCGAGCAAAGACGAAAGUCGGGCUUAGUGAUCCGGUGGUAGAAAGUGGAAUUGCCAUCGCUCAACGGAUAAAAGCUACCCUGGGGAUAACAGGCUGAUCUCCCCCAAGAGUUCACAUCGACGGGGAGGUUUGGCACCUCGAUGUCGGCUCA